rnacentral:rRNA from 1 species
CGGGUGAGUAACACGUGAGUAACCUCGCCCCCUUCCUUCUGGAUAACCGCAUGAAAGUGUGGCUAAUACGGGAUAUUCUGCGCCUGCUGCAUGGUGGGUGUGGGAAAGAUAUUGUUUCGGUGGGGAUGGGCUCGCGGCCUAUCAGCUUGUUGGUGGGGUGAUGGCCUACCAAGGCGGUGACGGGUAGCCGGCCUGAGAGGGUGGACGGUCACACUGGGACUGAGACACGGCCCAG